rnacentral:lncRNA from 1 species
CUCCACUCUAUCUCUCUCAAUCUAGUAGAAACUAGAAGAUCUAUUUCUACUUUACAUUGGUUGCUAAGCCUAAAAAGAAAUAUUAUUUAGAGAAGAGGUUUUCCUUCGAGGGCACCCCUCAAUCUCUAUGAUAAUUUCUUGUCCUCCUCCAGGGGCCAGGGGCCUUGCUUAUAUAGUCCUCCUCCUCCGUGCGUUUUUGGUUCAGCAGGCGAUGUGGUACUAAACUUUCCACCAUAUCUCAUUAAAAUGCACAUAGGGCUUAAUGGACCAAAAUCUGAUUUGGGCCCAAUUAAUCCCGCAGCUCUUUUAUGUGGAGUCCUUAUUUUAUUAAUAUCUCUUGAUUCCGAACUCCAAAUAUUGUAAAUAAUAUAUGCAUUUCGAUCAGCUCGACGAGAUCUUUGCAAUGGUGUACUCCAUUCUGUGAUUGGUGGAAACAACUGGGCGGGCGCCCAAGGGGAGUGGGCGGGCGCCCUGCCCCCGGGCCCGUUCGGCCUCCCGUUCGUUCCCGUGGCUUCUGGAGUCUUCUAGAUGAUAGAAAAUUGCACGGCACGUUAAUAUCUCUAUGUAAUCCCGACGUGUGGGCCUUUCUUCUAUAUUUCCUCAUAACCCCCUGCAGAAAUAGACAAACACCAAAACUCGUGAAAUUCUGUCAGAUAAAACCCUAAGUCUAGAUGUUGAUUUCAUUUGGAUCCUUUUCUUUGUUUAUUUGAUAAUUAAAUUUGAUACUUAAGGACCGUCAACAAACUCCCCCAAGCUUACCUCUUGCUCGUCCCUGAGCAAGGAUGAACUCAAGAGUUUCUGCAGUGGUUUUAUUUCUUAAAAGUACACACGCAUUCAAGCAAGAUCUCAUCUCUGAGUUAGAAUAAACUGCUAAGACUUAAAACUUUACUCAUUUUACCUUUCACCAUGGGGCUUGUAACCGUCACUUGUGUCUUGAGCAGUUAAAAGAUAGAACGGUCAAGUCAAGCGCCAUGUUUCUUAUUCUUGAUCAGCUAUAGCUCUGGGGUUUUUGCAGAUUUUCAAAUAAAACUCAGAGAUUCCUUAUAUGACUCUCUCAGAUCUCUCUUUUGUGGUAUUUUUGGAUCCUUACCAAGGCAGUAAUGGUAUAUGCCUUCUCUCAAAGUAUGUGGUAUUUUUACUAUAAGGCAUAGUGAUAUUGCCUUCUCUCUCACCCUACUCUAAUAAGGUUUUGAUAUGUGGAGCUCAUAGGUGGGAGACAGCUAAUACAUACUUACAAGACAUUUAUUGCAUAGUCAAACCAUGGAUCCAGAGAAAUAAGUCAAUAAGUCAAAUCAAGAUGUGCAUGUGUGGCGAAUGAAUGGUGUAUGGUGAUGAUGAUGGUGAAAGUCUAAUUCUACUUUUUGCUCUUUUGAGGGAAUACAUACCUUUCUUGCACUUUGAAGCUUUUUGGGGAGAAUGAGAUGCUCUAUAUUUUCUUUUUCUUUCCUCUCAGGUGGGUAUCUUGUACCCCUAAUUCUACUGUCGGACACUUGUCCAUUUUUACCUCUCGUCUCACUUUUUCUUUUCUUCGAGGUUCCGGGCACUUGCCCUUUUUUAUUUCCUCGUAUAUUAUUUAUUUUUUUUCUUUUUUUUUCUCUCUUUUUUUAGAGCACUCAUCUCCUGAGAUAAUAUAGCAAGUGGUAGUAACCAAGAUAACUCGAGCAUUUAUUUCACAGGGAAUAACAGAGAUAGGAAAAUAUUUUUGGCUAUUCUCUUCCGGAUUAGGAGUAGAAUACUUUUGGGUGAAUCUGGAGACGAAAAUGAGUGGAUGUAUGUGGAUGGUACUUUCAGAGUAGAAGUAGCAUGUAUGAGUGAACGUGCAAGUGAAUCUUGAUUUUAACCGCAUGAUAAGCUCCUAAGGGUCUACACAGCUUGACCACACUCAAUGCUCAUAAGCAGUAAAAAGUAAAUGUGUGGCUCAAAGUCUAGCAAGCAUGUAUAUAUGGCUGUGGUAGGAAUUUAAACUCUCAUCAUACAGGAACUCAUCAUGUGUUAUUUUAAAGAUUUUUCAAAGUUAAAAUUCUCCAGAAUUCUAGCAUCUCUAGGAAUAGAUAAACAGCAGCUCAACCUUCCCAUAUCAUAUCCGUUAACGACUUAGACUUUAGAUCAAGUACUCUCCCCACAAGUUCAGAUUUAGAGCAAAUCUUAAUUCAUAACAGUCAUGCCUAAACUUGAGAGAGAUUUCGAAAUUGCAAAUUAGGUAGAGCAACUAUUCAUCAUAUCCAUGCUAGAGUUUUAUUAUUAAGAUUCAGAUUAGCAUAGCCACUUUAUUUAUUUAUUAAACAUACUAAGCAAAAGAUAUAUAUAAGCACAAAAUCUUUAUUUGGUUUUUCAUAGUUUAUGUAUUUUAAUAUUCUAACAUAAUAUAAGUAUAAAGAUAGGUAGAAAUACUUAGCGAGAAUAAUGGGGGUGCUCUCCCCCAAGCUGAAUUUUGACGUAAUUUCUCUUGAUGUAGCUAGCAGGUCGCAGAGGUGUAUUUGAAAGUCAGCAGCAUUCUGACAGCGAUUAGAAUGUCCUCCGUCUGCUAGUCUUCUUGAUCCUUGAAUUCUGUGGAGCUCAAAUAGACAACAAAGCUUUGUGGAACUGGUUAAGUGUUAGCAUAAAUAUCUAGCCUUUAUCAUGUUGAGCUUCCUUAAUAAAUGUUAUACUUUUUGGUAGGAUCAUAAAUUUAUUUUUAUAUUUUCAUUGUAAGAUGAAAACUUAUUUAUUUUAUUUUUAUGCCACCACAGUGAAUGUACUUAUGGGUUUUAUGCCAUGAGCAUACUCACAUGGGGCUUACUAUUUUUUAACAUUUUUAUUUUCUUUUCAAGAUGAUAUGAACCUGAUUAACUAAGCAAACUAUUUUAAAUAAUUGAAGGAAAAAGAUAACUACCAUGUUUACCUCAUGGCAAGACGUUCGGUGUUUUUAAGUCCUCCGAACGGGACUCCUUGUGUCGGUGUUUUUCCCCGGGGGGGGUCACACCAACGAGUAAAUUUGUAUGCGUGCUCCCUUUUCCGGAUGGUGAUGCAAGAAGACACAAAGAUUUAUCCUGGUUCGGGCAAGAGAAGGCCCUACGUCCAGCGGGGGGAGAGAGUUUGUAUUAUCUUGCACCUAAGUGCUUGUACAGGGGCGAAUACAAGCGUGGUAUGAAGUGUGGAACUCUACUGCGUAUGAGCGUGGUCUUGUGUUGUCCCUCUUCCCCCUGAUCUAUUCCUGAGUCUCUCCUUUUAUAGUUCCAAGGAGGAACUAGGGUACAUGCGUAGAUGUUAGAGUAGGGGUCGAUAGCCGCAUGGAGCGCUGACCUACUCGAGGCUUCCGUACGACAUGGCCUCGAGCCGUCCCAUCUUGAUAGCCCGGU